UGUGGCACUUCCCCUGUGCUCUCCCUCUCCUGCUGCCAUGAGAAGGUCCUUGCUUCCCUUUCACCUUCUUCCACUGUAUGUUUCCUGAGGUCUCCCAGUCAUGCUUCCUGUUAAGCCUGCAGAACUAGUCAAGAAACCUUUUUUUUUGAGCUAUUUACAGUUGUUAAAAAUUGAGUAAAUUAUACUCCUAUGAGAAAACUUUGGAGCAUAUUUCUUUCUACCUGAUUUCUCAAGAAUUUGAAAACUAUUUAUAUCACCUUUUGUGAGAACUCGGGAGUUAGGAAUGGCCUUCACCAUACUGAUGCUUUCUCACUGAGCUCCUCUCUACCCUGAAUAGUUACGCAAAAAUAUCAUCACCUGUAUUCAGCCAGAAGAAGCUACAGAAGAUGGAUCUUCAUCUGUCUGCAAAUUUUGGGAUUAAGGGUCCCUUUGGGGGUAUUGGGGAAAAUAUGUCAGAACUAUUUAAACCAGAGCAACUCCAUCUUGAAUAGGGGAUAGAUAAAAUGAGCUGAGACCACCUGUGCUCCAUUCCUAAGAGGUCAGGCAUUCUUAGUUACAGGAUGAGAUAGGACAUUACAAGACAGAUACAGGUCACAAAGAACCCACUGAAAAAACAGGAAGCAGUAAAGAAGCCAGCCAAAACUAAGAUGGUGAGGAAAUUGACCUCUGGUCAUCCUCACAGCUUAUCUUAGGCUAUUUAUAAUGCAUUAGCAUGCUAAAAGACAUUCCCACCAGUGCCAUGGCAGUUUACAAAUGCCAUGGCAACAUCCAGAACUUACCCUAUAUGGUCUAAAAGAAAGAGAAACCCUCAGUUCUGGGAAUUCCCCACCCCUUUCCAGGAAAAUUCAUGAAUAAUCCACCCCUUGCUUAGCAUAUAAUCAAGAAAUAACCAUAAAAAUAGCCAACCAGAAGCCUUCAGUGCUGCUCUGCUUAUGGAGCAGCCAUUCUUUUCUUUCUCUACUUCUCUAAUAAACUUGAUUUGAUCUUACUCUGUGGACUCACCCUGAAUUCUUUCUUGUGUGAGAUCCAAGAAUCCUCUCUUGUGGUCUAGACUGGUAUCCCUUUCCAGUAACACUCCAAUUAAGCUUUCUUCUCUAAAAGUUAAACAGAAACCAGUGCUUCUGAAAGACUGGUAUCAACCACCUGCCUGACACUGCCCCUCCCUUUUGCAGUUUCAACACAACAACAAGAAUUCUUUCCUGAUAAGAGACCUCUGACCACAGAGUGGUUCUGGCCAGUCUACAGAGGCUGAACACAGAGGGCUUUCGUGUCCUCUGCUUCACCUUUUGAUGUAUAGGCCCUAACUGUAAUACAUUAAAUGUUAAGGCUCCACCCCAAAGUGACUUGUGAUGCAUGCUGCAUACACGUUAGCCUACUAUGUAUGUGUGUGCCACCCCUUCGUGAAUACUAAUAGCUCCUCCUAUAGCCUGUUGAAUAUAUAUACUUAGCCACCCUGCUCAGCAUAAAUUCCCGUUCUCUUUUCCCCUCUCUCUCCUUUCCAAAUUUAUGAGCCCCAUCAUUCUUCAGUUAACAAUAUUUAGGACUGCCAGAACUAGAGGAACUUCUACCACACUUCAAUUAUUUUCAUUUGUAAAAAAAAAAAAAUCUGAUGCUAGUCCUAACAUUUUGCAUUGACUGACACCCUAGAGAAAAUGUCCUUUGUCUCUUGCCUGAUUUCCUUUAGUUCUAGCCAAUAAACUAAUGGGCAAUCCAUACAUAGGCAUUUGAAAAUGUAUCACUGGGGAAGCUGAAGUCCAAAUUUUCUGAGACUUGCUGUAACAGGGCUAAGGGAUAAAUCCAGGUUUAUUUGCCAGCCCUGUUCAAAGAAAAAAGAUGGUAUAAAUUUAACACUUGAUAAAAAGGCUGAUCAACUCUUUUAAGUUUUUAGAUAAGAAUGACCUUAGAAUUUAAAAGAACAGCUAAGAGAAAACUAAAGACAAAGUGGAAAAGACUAAAAGAACACUUAACACUCUUCUCUAACUUCCUCCUGUGUAAAAGAAGUGAUAAUGACUACUCACAGGGUUAAUAUAAGGAUUACAUUAGAUAAUAUGUAGAGAGCGCCAGGGCUCGAUAUUUUUAAGCACGCAAAACUAGCAAGUGUUAUUGUUUUUGCAAGAAAUCAUUGCUAACAGAAAUGGUAAAUACAUUCCAUAUGUACAAUACAAAGAGCAUAAAAAUGACUGUAAACAUGACCACAGAACUUCAGUCAACACUCAACGUUUGAAGAGUGGAAAAUGAGCAUUUGGGAAAAAGACAAGAAUUAUCAUGCCAGUUAUUUGGGAAAUACAGGUUGGCAAAUUUGGAAUCAAUCCUAAAUAUGGAUUUUAGAAUGAAUUAUUUAAAAAGUGGUCCAGGAUACUUGAUAGGAAAGUACUCAGGAGGUGCUACAGUGAGUCACCCUUAGAAAGGCCAUGCUUUGGCUGGGCACAGUGGCCCCCACCUUUAAUUCCAGCACUUUGGGAAUCCUGGGGCAGGAGAAUCACUUGAGACCAGGAGUUUGAGGUGAGCCUUGGCAACAUAGCAAGACCCCAUCAAUACAAAAAAUUUAAAAAUCAGCCAGGUGUGAUGUCACAUGCCUGUAAUCCUAGACACUCAGGAGGCUGAGGUGGGAGGAUUACUUGAGCCCAGCAGGUCAAAGCUGUAGUGAGCUAUGAUGACACCACUGUACUCCAGCCUGGGUGACAGAGCAGGACCUUGUCUCAAAAAAAAAAAAGAAGCCAUGCUUUUAUUUCACUUUCUGGAAUGAUUCCAAAUCAGGAGUCGACAAACUUCAGACUGCUGCCUGUUUUUAUUGCUUUUAUUGGAACAUGUUCAUUUAUUUAUGAAUUGUCUAUGGCUGCUUUUGUACUAUAAAAGCAGAGGUGAGUAGCUAUAUAGCCUACAAAGUCAAAAAUAUUUACUAUUAAGACCAUUACAAAAAAAGUUUGCUAAUGCCUUCUCUAAGUGACAAGAAAAUGCUACAGGAUGGUUAUUAUCGCACCAGGAAUGACCUCAAAACCAAGAUCUCCUCACUGGCUCCUGCCUUUGACCUUGUGGUUAUAUCCAGUUUGGCUCAGUUGACUAGGCCUCCCACUGUGCUGGCCCUAGAAUAGAAAGACAAAGAAGACCACAAAGGAUGCUAAUAUCUGCAAUGAAGAUAUACCCAACAACCCCAGCUGAGAAGAUGAGGAAGAAGAUAUUGAGUCAAGUAAUGAAGAGCUCACACCAAGACACUAUGGUGUCAAUGGAGCAGUAUGUGUGUGACCGUGCAAGGUGGGGGUUGGAUGCUGCUCUACUUAGUCACAUGUCCCUGCCUGCUUACGUGGUCACCCUUAGAAGGAGAACUAUGAUAGGAAUGUGAGAAAUCUUUUGAACAUUUUAACUAUCAGUUUUCCCUUCCUUCUGGCUAAUUACUAUUAGCUUAGAGAUAUGCCAUAAUAUCUCCCAACUAAGACACACACUCCCUUUAGCAUCUAUCCCAUUCCAGGGAGGCGUCCAUUCUCUGUCCCACUGUGCAGCAGAAUUCCUCCUGACAUUUAUACAUAUUCAGCAUCACAGCUACCCAUUCUCUCAUUCUCUCUCAAAUCCCAAACACUGCAACCCCACCACCCUACUAACACAUGCUUAUCAAGAUCACCAAGGCCUUCCACAUUGACAAAUCCAAUACUCAGUUCUCAGGCCUCAUCUCACUGUGGCAGGAUUUGCCACAGCUGCUUGUGGUUUCCAGGUUCACUUGGUUUCCAGUCCACUAAACCUCUCUUGUUUUUCUUUCUACCUUGCAGGCUGCUACUUCUCAGACAGCUUAGCAUUUUACAAACUCCCUUUCUUCUAAAUGCUGACCUGCCCCAGGGGUUAGUCCUUGCCUUCUUUUCAUCUCUAUCUACAGUUCUCCCCUUAAAGAUGUAAUCUAGUUUCUCACCUUCAAAGGCAUUUUUAUGCUUAAAGACAAGAAUCUAUCCCUUAAAUUCCAAACUCUCCCCUGAAUAAUAGACUUUCACAUCUAUAGUACCUACAUGCAUGACUGUUUUAACUCUUUAUUCUACCCAUAUCACUCCAACAAACAAACAAAAAAAGACUUCUUUCUCAUUCUUCUCCAUCUUAGUAACUGAUUACUAUCCAGUUGCCAUCGCCCAAAAGGAAAACAGCAUCUCUUCUCUCACACCCACAUCCAACCUAUCAGCAAAUUGUGUGAGCUGCAGUAAGUAUCCUUGAAUGUAUGUCUUCACAUGCAACAGGGGAUAUAACUAUAACAUAAAUUUCUUGAAGAAAACCUACAUCUUUAAGGCUCCCAAAUGUAAUUUUCCUGCUUUAUUCAAUUUACUAGUAACAGUUCUUAUAUUUGUUGUAUCAACAAUAUAAUAGUUGAUUAACAAGAAACUGAGAGUGAAAUUAUAUUGGCUGUGUGUGUGUAUGUAUAUGUGUAUGUUAUAUGAUACAUAUACAUGUUAUAAAAUAUAGAAUAUAAUAUAUAAAAUCUGGUUAAAUACAUCAAAUAUAAUUGUAUCAACAAUAUAACGGUUGAUCAACAUUAUAACCGUUGUUAUCAACAAUCUAAUAAUGGUUGAUCAGUAAGAGACCAAAUUUAAUUUUCCUGCUUUACUCAAUUUACUAGUAACAGUUCUUAUAUUUGUUGUAUCAAUAAUAUAAUGGUUAAUCAACAAGAGACUGGUUAUAUAAAUUAUGCUACUGAGAGAUGACAGUGCUGGCAGCCCUCCCAGCCCUCACUCGCUCUCGGUGCCUCCUCGGCCUCGGCGCCCAUUCUGACCGCGCUUGAGGAGCCCUUCAGCCUGCCGCUGCACUGUGGGAGCCAUUCUCUGGGCUGGCCAAGGCCGGAGCUGGCUCCCUCAGUUUGCAGGGAGGUGUGGAGGGAGAGGCAUGGGCGGGAACCCGGGCUGCGCAUGGUGCUUGUGGGCCAGCUGGAGUUCCGGGUGGGAGUGGGCUUGGCAGGCCCCACAUUCGGAGCGACCGGCUGGCCCUGCCAGCCCCGGGCAGUGAGGGGCUUAGCACCCAGGCCAGCAGCUGCGGAGGGUGCACCGGGUCCCCCAGCAGUGCUGGCCCACCGGCGCCGCGCUAGAUUUCUCGCCGGGCCAGAUUUCUCGCCAGGCCUUAGCUGCCUCCCUGCAGGGCAGGGCUCGGGACCUGCAGCCUGCCAUGCCUGAGCCUCCCGCCCCCCGCCACCGCUGUGGGAUCCUGUGCGGCCUGAGUCUCCCUGACGAGUGCCACCCCCACUCCACAGUGCCUGGUCCCAUCAACAGCCCGAGGGCUGAGGAGUGCGGGUGCACGGCGCGGGACUGGCAGGCAGCUCCACCUGCAGCCCUGGUGCAAGAUACACUGGGUGAAGCCAGCUGGGCUCCUGAGUCUAGUGGGGACUUGGAGAAUCUUUACGUCUGGCUAAGAGAUUGUAAAUACACCAAUCGGCGCUCUGUAUCUAGCUCAAGGUUUGUAAAUGCACCAGUCAGCACUCUGUGUCUAGCUCAGGGUUUGUAAAUACAUCAAUCAACACUCUUUAUCUAGCUAAUCCAGUGGGGAGGUGGAGAACUUUUGUGUCUAGCUCAGGGAUUGUAAAUGCACCAAUCAGCACCCUGACAAAACAGACCAAUCAGCUCUCUGUAAAAUGGACCAAUCAGCAGGAUGUGGGUGGGGCCAGAUAAGAGAAUAAAAGCAGGCUGCCUGAGCCAGCAGUGGCAACCUGCUGGGGUCCCCUUCCAUACUGUGGAAGCUUUGUUCUCUCGCUCUUUGCAGUAAAUCUUGCUGCUGCUCACUCUUUGGGUCCACACUGCCUUUAUGAGCUGUAACACUCACUGGGAAGGUCUGCAGCUUCACUCCUGAAGCCAGCGAGACCACGAACCCACCGCAAGGAACGAACAACUCCAGACAUGCCGCCUUAAGAGCUGCAACACUCACCGCAAAGGUCCGCAGCUUCACUCCUGAGCCAACGAGACCACGAACCUACCAGAAGGAAGAAACUCCGAACACAUCUGAACAUCAGAAGGAACAAACUCCAGACACGACACCUUUAAGAACUGUAACACUUACCGCGAGGGUCCAUGGCUUCAUUCUUGAAGUCAGUGAGACCAAGAACCCACCAAUUCCGGAUACGCUACCAUGUUUUACAGACUCGAAAAUAUCUUUUUUUUUUUUUUUUUUUUACCUUUAACAUGUUUGAGAUCUGGACUCAGCAUUCCACAAUUGUUAUUGGCUAAGCAGCAGUUAUGGCAAAGCUGUCAUUGCCAAACGUCAUAGCUGUUGACACUGAUGAUACUUCCAGUGGCUAUGGGCAUUGGUGACACAUGUUGAGUGUGCCAUGUUAAAUGUCUUUAAAAACUUAUGAUUUAGCACUGAGAAGAAAAGUUACUGCACAGAAAAGCUCAAAAGCAGGAGCAUGGCAUGUAUUUGAUGUUAGUGAAACAAAUAUUUAUAAGACUAUUAAACAAAAGCAAGUCAAUGUUUUCUUGCAAAGCAACAACCAAGCCCUCUAAUGAAACCCACAAUAGGAAGAAACCUUUAAAAAGAUAAAGCUGGCUGGUGGCUCACACCUGUAAUCCCAGCACUUUGGGAGGCUGAGUGGGGCAGAUCACCUGAGGUCAGGAGUUCAAGACAAGCCUGACCAACAUGGUGAAACCCCAUCUCUACAAAAAAUACAAAAAGUAGCCGAGCAUGGUGGCACAUGCCUGUAAUCCCAGCUACUCAGGAGGCUGAGGCAGGAGAAUCGCUUGAACCUGGGAGACAGAGGUUGCAGUGAGCCGAGAUUGCACCACUGCACUCCAGCCUGGGAAACAGAGCAAGACUCCGUCUCAAUAAACAAAAACAAAAAGAAGAUAAAGCAGUGUUAGCAUUUGUUACAAAAUUACAUGCAAAAAUAAAAAUGCCUAUCACGAGCCAAGCAAUGCAACUCAUGGCAGGAGAAAUGGCAGAUUCCCUCAGAAAACGUACACCUCAAAGAAAUAAGAGGCUAGUAUAACUAACUCAUGAAUCACUCAGGAUGAUCAGGGAAGUACUGCGUUGCAGUUUGAUUCUCCAUCUCAGUGUAUAAAAUAAUGUUACAUCUUGUAAUUUAUGACAUUCUAUAUUAAAUUCAGUACGGUACAUAUGUCCAAUGGAUACCCCACAUCUAGGAAAAUGGAAAAAAAAAUAGGGGUGUAUCCGUAUGUGCCAAAAUGAAAAGAUCUCCAAGACAAAUUUUAAGUGCAAAAAACAAUAAUACAAACAAAAUUGUUCAUAGUAUCACCACUAUUUAUAUUUUUUAAAAAGGAAGGUACAGAUAGAGAGCCCCAAAAUAUUCUUCAUCUAUGGAAACAUGACAUAUCAAAACUGGCACUGUAAUCAGUGAGGAAAGGAUAGACCACUCAAUAAAUGGUGAUGGGACAACUUGGUCUCCGUGCAGAAAAAUAAAAGAAAUUGUAUAUGUUACUUGAUAACAAAGUUCACUUUCAUAUGGAUUUCAUUUAAAUGAAAAAAAGCAAAACUUUAAAAGAAUGUUCUUGGAGUAAGAAUUUAUUUAACCUGUAUGACCU
rnacentral:lncRNA from 1 species